rnacentral:rRNA from 1 species
GAUGAACGCUAGCGGCAGGCUUAAUACAUGCAAGUUGAGGGGCAGCAUGAUAUACGCGAGUAUAUUGAUGGCGACCGGCGGACGGGUGAGUAAUAGGUAGGAGACCUACCUCAUACAGGGGGAUAGCAUAGAGAAAUCUGUGGUAAUACCCCAUGAGGUUAUAUGAAUAGAGGCAUAUAAUCAAAGCAUAAGCGAUUAUGCGGUAUGAGAGGGGCCUACUGACCAUUAGCUAGUUGGUGAGGUAAGGGCUCACCAAGGCGAAGAUGGUUAGGGGUUUUGAGAGAGAGACCCCCCACAUUGGAACUGAGAGACGGUCCAGACUCCUACGGGAGCAGCAGUAGGGAAUAUUGGGCAAUGGGCAAAGCCUGACCCAGCCAUGCCGCGUGAAGGAAGACGGCCUUAUGGGUUGUAAACUUCUUUACUACGCGAAUAGAGGUUAGUACGAGAUACUAAUAGGAAGGUAGUGUAGUAAAAGCAACCGGCUAACUCCGUGCC